GACAUUGAAUAUUAUUCUAUCAGGUUCUUAUGGUUUUAGAUCAUUUUAGUUGUUGUACAAAGAUUAUUUUAACAUUUUCUCUGGAAGUAUUAAUUUAGAAAGAUAAUAUGCCUCAUUGGUGUUGUGUUUUGAAGUGUGAAAUGGAAAGUAAUCGUGAUAAAGUUAGCUUUUACCACUUACCAUCAGUGCUACAUUCUAAGCACAAAACUGAACCAAUUUAACUAAAUAAGUUAUAGUUAUCAUCUGAGAGACAACAACAAUGAUAAAAUGCAAUAAAAUAUUAAGAUUUUACUAGCAAAAUGGAAAUUCCCCUGUAAUCAUCUUAUAUCUGGAAAACCAGCUGAUAAUAACAAUCCAGAUUGGGUUCCUUCAAUAAAUAUGGGGUAUAUAAACACAAUGAAAUGAGUUUCCCAAAAUCUAAAAUGGGAAUUAAGGUACCAAAGGAGAAUUAAAAGAAAAGGGUACCUACAAGAAAAAAUUGCUUUUUUAUUCCUCUUGAAAUGAUUUAUAAGACACUGGACUGUCUUAUAUUCUACAAAUACUAGGUAGGUCUAUGAUUUUACACAUUUUUCAUUAAUGAUACAUUACUGUUACUUUAGUAGAUUUAGAAACAGUGGAUAGUUAGUGGUAGAUAGAGUUAUUUGGUAUAAAAGCUAGUUUAGUAGAAGACAAGAUUUUGCCAAAUAGUCAAACGUAUAUUACAAUGGAAAAAUUAACAAAUACAUUUUAUGUCAUUAACAUUAACACAGGAUUUUAAAUAUCAGCUUAAGAAAUUAGCUUUAUCUUGUGAAAGUAUAGAAAAUGAUGAUGCCAAAACUAAAAAUUAUACUGGUUUAGCCAAUUACAAUGUUUUUAAAAUAGCUUUAAAGUAUAUUACACCAUUUAUCAAAUACCAUCAAAAUACUGUUUUGUCACCAAGUGAUCAAGUAUUGCUUACUUUAGCUAAACUAAGCUUAAACUUAGAUUAUAAAGAUUUGGGAUAUAGGUUUAGUAUUUCACCCUACCCGGUAUCAACUUAUUUCAAAAAUACUUUGUAUAUAAUGUGUCUUAGGUUAAAAAAAUUUGUGUUCUGGCCUGAUAGAGAUAUUUUAAAGAAAACUAUGCAAAAUUCACUUAAAGAAUCUUUUCAUGGAAAUACUACAGGUAUAAUUGACUUUGGACGAAUGUUGGUAUGAAACGAAUUAUUUAUUGUUCUGAAGCUAGUUAUUUGAGGCAUUUUUGUAAUUAACUAUUCUAAUUGGGAAAUAAGCCACAAUUUAACUUAAAAAAUAAUUUUAUUAAUCUUUCGACUUCCAAAUCAGAUGUCAUUGUCAAAAUACAAAAUAUUAUUAUUUAUGCAUAUUAUUACCUGUAAAUAUUUCUUCUGAUUGUGAACCCUUAACUUGGUGGUGUGUACUCCAGGAUACGUUGUUUAUUAUAAUUAAUUUCUCUAUAUAUACGUAAAGUUGCCGCGAGAUUUUAAACGUACCCUCUCCAUAAAGUAUUCGCCUAACCAAUAAAUUAAUUUGAAUGUCAUACACAGAGAUUUCCACCAAUGAGAGAGCGUUUUAUGUAAGCGUGCUAAAAAUGGCUUCCAAAAAAGGUGUUAGUUUGUGUCAUUCCGAAAGUAAAUUCAUUUUUUCAAUGUUUUAAGUUAAUAUAUGAAUUGGUAAACUAUAAUUCUAGAUAAUUAGGUCUGCAAGAAACAAUCGUAUAAAAUAAUUUUCAGGAUUUGUUUAUAAACAAACAGAUAGGAUCACUUUGAAAAGUAGUAUCUCUGAAAAUACAUUGCCAGGUUAGCGGCAAUUUAGAUAGUAUCCUUGAAUAUACAUUGGCAGGUACUGAUGAAAAUUCAAUGAGUAUCUUUUUGGAUACAUCACCCGGUAUACGGACAAAUACUAACUGUUUCUUAUUAGCUACUUUGCCCAUUAGAGAAUUAACAGAAAAGUGAUAAAAACAUUUGGUAUAUUAUGUUUGUAAUGAUUGAUCGUAUGUUCUUAUCUACUCCAAAAGCUUGUAUGUAUGUCCCAGCUUGUAUGUAUGAAUCAUAUGUAUAUCCCGCCAAUAUUUCUUGAAAGUAUUAGUAUAAAAAAAUGUUACAGUAUGUUUUCAUAUUAUCGAAUUCUAUUUUUUACAUAUUAGGUAUAUACAGUGCGUCUAUAAAGUAACGCAUAAAUUCAUUAGAUAUUAUCUAAAUAAACAUAGAAAUUCCCGAAACAGAUCGAUUUUUAUUUUUAAAUUACGAUUUUUUGGCAUAAUACAAGUGACGUCAUCCAUCUGGCCGUGAUGACAUUAUCGAUGACACCGAAAAAGAAGAUUCGUAGUCAUGUCAUAUAUUCGUAGAAUAUACCUGGAGAAGAUGUCAGAAAAGAUCUUUUCGGACACUUUCCAACUUUUACAACCAAAGGACGAUGCCGAAACUGUUGCAAAGGACAAACAGCAAUGAGUUGUACAAAAUGUAGGGCAAGAUUAUGUUUGACGGAAUCCCGUAAUUGUUUUUAUGAUUUUCAUAAUAUCUAAAUUUUGUAAUAUUUUAUACUUAUAAUUACUUUCUACUUUUAUUUUUUGAGUGUACCAAGUUUUAUUUGAAGUUUUGAAUUUAAGUUUUAAAAAUAAGUGUUUGAUCACCAUUGUAGUUUAUUUAUAAUUUAUAAAUGUACAUGAUUAUAUAUUAAUUGAUACAAUACUAUGUGUAUGGUUGAAACCCCUACACAAAAAGCCAUCUAUUCAUAAUUGAAGUAACACAAAACUCCACAAAAUAAAAUGACAACAUUAAACAAAUCUACAAAUGUUUCGCUAAAAGUCUUGAAAAUUCUAAAGACUUUUAGCGGAACAAUUUAUUGUAGAUUUGUUUAUUGUUUUCAUUAUAUUUUGGGGAAUUUUGAUAAUUUUGCUUUAAUUCAAUGACCCAAUAAUAUUUAAUAUAUUGGUUCAAACUACAAAUAUACAUCUUGGCAAUGUAUCUUUCUAGAUACGGAGGUAUUUUUUUAAUAACCUGGCAAUGUAUCUAUUGGGUAUCAGUACUUGUUUUAUAGUGUUCCUGGCAAUGUGUCUUGCGAGGUACAUUGUAAUGUACGGUACGCCUAGUAGUGUAUCUUAUGGGAUACAAUAUGUCAAUAAAAUGUCAAAAAAUUUAAAAUAGAAAAAAAACUGCAAUUGACUCUGAUAAUGGAGCCCUCUAAAAAUGACAUCCAGUAAGCAAAAACAUUUUUCUUACAGCGGUUAUAGGCGCGCCAAGUUAAGGGUUAAUUGUAAAGGAUAGAAAAAUUACCAUUUAUUUUAUUUUUUUUAGAAUCAGCUGAGAGAAGUGGUCUACAAAAACCCAGGAAGGAAACGGAAUAUGUGGCUACGAAAGGCAAAAGAAAGGUUUACAAAGCAAAUGUGACACUUUUUUUGAAAUAUUUAGGAAUAUCAGUAAAUUGCAUUAAAAAAAUGUAUGAAAAGAUUUUGUUCAAUAAAAAUGUUUAUAUUUA